AUGGUAACUAGGAAGGGCUACGGUGAGGUUCAGAUGGUAACUAGGAGGGCUACGGUGUGGUUUAGAUGGUAACUAGGAAGGGUUACGGUGAGGUUCAGAUGGUAACUAGGAAGGGCUACGGUGAGGUUCAGAUGGUAACAAGGAAGGGCUACGGUGAGGUUCAGAUGGUAACUAGGAAGGGCUACGGUGAGGUUCAGAUGGUAACUAGGAAGGGCUACGGUGAGGUUCAGAUGGUAACUAGGAAGGGUUACGGUGAGGUUCAGAUGGUAACUAGGAAGGGUUACGGUGAGGAUCAGAUGGUAACUAGGAAGGGCUACGGUGUGGUUCAGAUGGUAACUAGGAAGGGCUACGGUGAGGUUCAGAUGGUAACUAGGAAGGGUUACGGUGAGGAUCAGAUGGUAACUAGGAAGGGCUACGGUGAGGUUCAGAUGGUACACAGGAAGGGCUACGGUGACGUUCAGAUGGUAACUAGGAAGGGCUACGGUGAGGAUCAGAUGAUAACUAGGAAGGGCUACGGUGUGAUUUAGAUGGUAACUAGGAAGGGCUACGGUGAGGUUCAGAUGAUACAUAGGCAGGCAAGGAAGUGUGUAUGGAAGGAUACAGAAACACACAUGCAUGUCGCACACACAUGAACACACACACAAUCAAUCACAGGUUCGC